AGCUUUGCGCAGUGGCAUAUCGUAGCCAAUGAGGUUUAUCCGAGGCGCGAUUAUUGCUAAUUAUAAAUAUACUGCCCUGUAAUUCAUAAUAGUUAAUUUUUUUAAAAGAUUUUAUUUAUUUAUUUGACAGAGAUCACAAUUA